rnacentral:tRNA from 1 species
CACCUGAUAACUUAAAGUAAGUAAUGAUCUCUUAAAUCAUGCCAUAAUAAUUCACGUAUAUUUCAGAUGA